UCCAUUUCUACCGCUCCCUCCGACUGCAGUAAAACUGCUUCAUUAUUCACCACGGCCGCCUCCACUCACCAUUCACCACUCACCACUCACCACGCACACGGGAGAAGCGGAAGCUAGGGUUGCCUUGCCUCCCAUCCAGAUCCAACCGCGGCGGCGCAGAUCCAGAUAAGUUCAGAUGCUAGAUUGGUUCAAACUAGAUAUAAAGCCCCGGCAGGGGAUGUCCACAUGUGUACUACCUGAUGAGCUGGUGGUGGACAUCCUGUCUCGACUGCCGCUGAAGUCCUUGUGCCGCUUCAAAUGUGUCUGCAAGUCUUGGCUUGCCUUCUCAUCUCAUCCAUACUACCGGCAAAAGCUCCCAAGAACUCCCAAUGGUCUCUUGUACAGGAAACGUGAGCAUGGCAGACUUCCCUGGUCUCUUGGCACUGCCAUCCAUCUUGCCAGACUGUCCUCAAGUGACAAGAAAAUUGACACAGCACUUAGCUUUGUGCCAUGUUACAAGUACCCGAUACAGCUUCAGGAUUGCUCCAAUGGCUUACUUCUUUGUUACCAGGGAGGUUGGCGUGAAGAAAUUUCCAACGCUAUUGUGUGCAAUCCGGCAAGUCAAGAGUGGAUGGCGCUUCCAGAUACUGAACCUGGGCCAACCAUCUCUACUAAUCAAUUCGUUUUGUGUUUUGAUCCAUUAUGGUCUCAACACUUCUAUGUCUUCAAAUUUCAGUCAAGCAUGGUCCUGGACCCUCAUGUUGGAACCUCCACUGAAGUUAAGGUAUUUUUCUCCGAGGACUCCACAUGGUCUAGUUGUCUUUGGGAACUAGGGAUGCAUUUGUUGGUGAUUCACUCUUCAUAAACGGGGUGUUGUAUGUGAAGCACUUGUUCGCCCAUAAAAUUCUGGCGCUAGACGCACCUGACACAUGCACACAGUGGCUCAACCAUAGGAUCAUUCAGCUGCCAGGAAUUCCUUAUAGGCCAGAUAUGUUUUCCUGUUGUAAUGGGUUUAUUGGCCAGUCCUCAGGCGUCUUACGCUAUGUGAAACAAGAACUAGACGGCUGUGCGAUACGGAUUUGGAGUUUGGAAGGCCCUGACGGGUGGGUAGUGAAACACCGCCUAAGUAUGGUCGAUGUAUUUGGGAGGGACAUGUUGCUCCGCACUGACAGCGAAGGAUAUUGGUGUUUCGAUUAUGACAUCAUGGCUGUUGACCUGGAGAGGGAACUGGUUAUCCUUGAUGACAAAAUUGCUGAUAAGAUCAUCUCAGUUAGCAUGAGGACUGGAAAAGGCUCACAGUUUCAAAAGAUUCCAAGAAGGUUCACUGAACUAUACCGCAGUCUAUUCCAUGUGCCAUACUACGGCAAGGUUCCAGCUUUAGGGCGUUAGGGGUCUGAGGAUGAAUUAUGCCAUGCUGUAUGUAUCUGCUAUCAGUUCAUUAGUUUGUUGUAAGCAUCUUUUGUGCAUUAGGUGCACCCAACUAGUGUGAUGUAAUGUACUAGAUUGUUGGCUGUGUGUGCCGUUCCUGUAAUGGUAUGUAGUACUUGUCUUUUCGACCGGUGGACUAUUAUCAAACUAUGCUCGCUUACUUUGGAAA